rnacentral:rRNA from 1 species
UACGGGGGGGGCAAGCGUUGUUCGGAAUUACUGGGCGUAAAGGGCUCGUAGGCGGCCAACUAAGUCAUACGUGAAAUCCCUCGGCUUAACCGGGGAACUGCGUCUGAUACUGGAUGGCUUGAGUUCGGGAGAGGGAUGCGGAAUUCCAGGUGUAGCGGUGAAAUGCGUAGAUAUCUGGAGGAACACCGGUGGCGAAGGCGGGAUCCUGGGCCAGUACUGACGCUGAGGAGCGAAAGCGUGGGGAGCAAACAGGG